rnacentral:misc_RNA from 1 species
GAUUAAGAACGCAGCGAAAUGCGAUACGUAAUGUGAAUUGCAGAAUUCAGUGAAUCAUCGAAUCUUUGAACGCACAUUGCGCCUGCCAGCACUCUGGCAGGCAUGCCUGUUCGAGCGUCAUUUCAACCAUCAAGCCCUAGGCUUGCGUUGGAGCCCUGCGGCUGCCGCAGGCCCCUAAAAGCAGUGGCGGGCUCGCUAUCACACCGAGUGCAGUAGAUUACUCUUCGCUCAGGGCGUGUGGCGGGUUCCAGCCGUGAAACCCCCUACUUCUCAAGGUUGACCUCGGAUCAGGUAGGAAUACCCGCUGAACUUAAGCAUAUCAAUAAGCGGAGGA